CGGGAGACCAGUUUGUUGUUUGCCAACACAGCCCGAAACGCAACGCUAGAGUCUGUGACCAAAGACUGCCAUUUCUCUGAGUCUUGAUGCGAUGCCAACAUUGAGGUUCUCGGAUUGGUACUUGGACAAAAGCAGAUAAAUGUCACCCGUGUCAAGACCGCCAGCCGAUGUAAGCUCAGCUGAGGUCCAGUUACAGCAGCUGUCACUCACACAUCACGAUGGAAGCCUUCCCUUCCACGCGCGUGUGGAAUGUUCACCUCACACGCAGCCGCAAAGUUAGCCCACCUGAAUGGCUUGAAACAACUGCCAUGGACAAAGGAGACCUGAAGGACUUUCAAAAACUGGAAAUGCUACUGGAGGCUAGAAAGACCCGAAGGAAGGACAUGGCUCUUGGAAAGCUGAAGGACCUGAAAGAACUGAAAAUAAUCUCGCACACUUGAAGAAUAUGAGGGAUUGGAGGGAGGCAGAGAACCUCAAAGAUUUGGACCUGAAGGAACUGAAACUACUACUGGAGGUUAGAAAGACCUGAAGUGGUUAAAAGAACUGAAUGUGACCUCCAAAACCUAAAGGACUUGAAAGAGUUGAACAGGCUCCUGGAAAUUGGGAACCUUGAGGACUUGAAGGAACGUGUCCCGAAGAGCGCGGCAGACCUCGGACCAAGAGCGCGACGGACGCAUCGGCUUUCGGUCUUUGCGGUUCUCUGCGGGAGCUUUUAUCAGAGCCGAGUUUGACCCACUUGAUAAAGAGGCCGAGCACUAAGUGAGAAGCGAGGUUUUUAUCUAAUCCUAUUUUUGUCUUCCACGCCUUUCUGUCUUCUAUCUGGGCUUAUCGGCGUUUAUCUGGUCUUGAAGUCAAGUCUGCACGACCAGGCACUUUGGAUUUGCUAAAUGGCCUUCAAGCGGAAUUGCAACGAUUCCUCAACGAAUGAUCGAUGAUCAACUUAAUCCACAUCGGUUUGUGUGUUUCGAGAGCUGGUUUGACUCCAGAUUGUCGGCAAUUGAACCUCUCAAUCGUAAAUAUUGACAACUGACUGCUUAUCUUUUGUGUUGACUCAAAUAAGACUUUUGCAAACGCUUGCUUUUACUUUGCAAAACGAUGAUCGAUGUUUUGGGCUGAUUUUGAGGCCAAUGUUAUGGACCGGACUAGCUGCUGAAUCAUCAUUUCUUCGCUCAUGCAUUUUCUGCGCUGUCAAUUCAAAAUACUGUCCUGCCGUUGACUAAAAGAGGCAAUUAAAAA